UGUACGUACAAGCAGUGGGAGCACCUUCGGGUGUGACUGCGUACCUUUUGUAUAAUGGGUCAGCGACUUAUAUUCUGUAGCAAGGUUAACCGUAUAGGGGAGCCGCAGGGAAACCGAGUCUUAACUGGGCGUUAAGUUGCAGGGUAUAGACCCGAAACCCGGUGAUCUAGCCAUGGGCAGGUUGAAGGUUGGGUAACACUAACUGGAGGACCGAACCGACUAAUGUUGAAAAAUUAGCGGAUGACUUGUGGCUGGGGGUGAAAGGCCAAUCAAACCGGGAGAUAGCUGGUUCUCCCCGAAAGCUAUUUAGGUAGCGCCUCGUGAACUCAUCUUCGGGGGGUAGAGCACUGUUUCGGCUAGGGGGUCAUCCCGACUUACCAACCGAUGCAAACUACGAAUACCGAAGAAUGUUAUCACGGGAGACACACGGCGGGUGCUAACGUCCGUCGUGAAGAGGGAAACAACCCAGACCGCCAGCUAAGGUC
rnacentral:rRNA from 1 species